AGUUUUAAAAAUGACACCCAUAGUUUCAUUUGGAGGGAGAUUCGAUUUCAGACUUUCAACCUCGAUAGCACGACCUAACGGUUUCCUCUCAUCUUUUUCUUCUCGGGAAGCUCCCUUUCCAUUUGAGAGGGACGAGUCCAGAGUUAGUGGCCUUGGAGUAGGAAAUUGGAAGAAGCAGCUGGUGGAGGAAAUAGAAUGAAUUUUGAAUUUCGCUUGAUUGGGUUUUUGAGUUUAGUGCCGGCGAACGUUCAACCGUUUUCAGGUCCUCUCGAUGUCUGCAAAGAGUCAUCUCAGCCUCUGUGAUUCUCCGAUUCUCAUCGACGAUGGCAGAAAGAGCUUUGCAUUGGAGAAAUGGACCGGGAGGAAAUGCUACAUGCUUUCUGCAAGGGACCUUACAAUUAUCUGGUCCAAUUCUCCAGAUUAUUGGAGAUGGUUACCCGACCCAGAUUCCAGCUUUUCGGAAGUGGCUGAGCUUAUUGAUGUUUUUUGGUUUGAAAUCAAUGGCGAAAUUAGUAUCCAGAUGUUUUCCCCAGAAAUAUCAUAUGCGGCGUACUCGGUGUUCAAAUUGAUAACAAGUGCUUAUGGGUUUGAAGGACAUCCAGCAGAGAUCACUGUAGAACUUGCUGGAAGUGAAAAGGAUAAGCGUAGUGGUUUUUUGGUUCCAGUAAGAGGACAGAGGCGCCAACACCAGACUUUAAGAAGGCUAACUGGUUUGUUUAACUGCAGCCGGGUUUCGGGUUCGCAACCCUCUGUGCCUCCCGGAAAAAGCUAUGGCAAAUACCCGAAAGAGAGAGUAGAUGGGUGGCUGGAGAUUGAAUUGGUUGAGUUCUGUAACAAGAAAGGCGGAGAUGGAAAAUUGAAGAUAUGUUUACGGGAGACAGGUGGUCGCCGGAAACGUGGUGUCAUUGUUCAAGGGAUAGAGAUUAGGCCGAAAGGAGAAAGCAAAAUUAAGCAAGCAAUCGCUAAUUGAAGGACUUGGCCUAUGUUUUCUGACUUGUUACUUCAAAAGUCAACUUCUAUUGAGAAUAUGGAGGUUGCUAAAUAAUGAAAGUUGAAAGGUUUAAAUUCAUUCUAAGAUCUCAAUUUUAGUCACUGCAAAGAGUUCAAAAGCUAUAAGGUGUUUAACUGUCAGGAGCAAUAUUGUUUGAGGCAAAGAUUUCUUCGGGAAGCAGAUGUGUGAAAAUUUGUCAAAAAUGCAGGCUAAACAAACCUCACUGCCUAUCCUGGACAGAUUUGAAUGUUCAGUUAACAAACUGAAGCAGAGAAGAUAUCAAGACAGUGACUACAGAUUGAUGGUGUAACAAGUUGCUUUGACACAAGCCAUGUAUGCAACCUGCUGAAAUCAGACAUUUCUGAGUAACUUAUCUUUCUCCUGUUGAUUUUCCUAGUCAAUUGGACUGAUGACACGAGUCAUUUGUCGAGGGGGAAAAGAAGAAGACUGCAUAUAGUUGUUAAUCAUUGGUUGUUGAUGUACUUAUUUUAUGUAGGCAUUUUAAGGUAUUUUUGUAUCCAUUUUCCCCUUUAACUUUAUGUUCUAUAGCAUUUUUAACCUUUAUUUUA